UACGAAGGGGGCUAGCGUUGCUCGGAAUUACUGGGCGUAAAGGGCGCGUAGGCGGACAGUUUAGUCAGAGGUGAAAGCCCAGGGCUCAACCUUGGAACUGCCUUUGAUACUGACUGUCUUGAGUUCGGGAGAGGUGAGUGGAAUGCCGAGUGUAGAGGUGAAAUUCGUAGAUAUUGGCUGGAACACCGGUGGCGAAGGCGGGUCUCUGGGCCGAUACUAACGCUGAGGAGCGAAAGCGUGGGGAGCGAACAGG
rnacentral:rRNA from 1 species